ensembl:lncRNA
AAUUAUAUCUGCUGUCCCUUAAUGUCUGGGAGCUAGAAAAGAGAAGAAAGUCACCCUCAGGACCUUCCCCAUUGGUCUGGGUAUAGACAGGAGGACAUAGAGGCGGCUGCUCUGUUACCAGCAUUUCUAAACCCCGACAGACACUCCUUGUGGGAGGACGCUUUUCAAAGCAUCCCAGACAUUUCGGAUUUACUCUUCUAAAAGCUGAAGGACUGAGAACAACAGAAAAACUCGGCUCAGUGUCCACAUCGGUCUCAAUAUUUUUCCGAGUCUAAAGAACUUAACGAUCUACGCGCAGAAAGGAAGCGCGGCUACCGACAGCCCAGGAAGCGGGAAAGGGCUGUGAGGUGGGCGGUGCUGUGGCGCCGAGGCCGGGCCGUCCCCCGCCGCUCCCCGGGCGCGCUUCGCCACCUGGUGGGCAGCGGGCCUGCUGCAGGCGGCUGGGGGCCGUGCGGAUCCAUGGUUUGGUUCGGCCUACAAAUGUCUUUGAUUGAAAAUAUAUACGUAUUUUUAUUAGCUGCAAACGCAGGCUUGCUGAUUUCUAGGUGAGAAUAUCACUUAUCGAAUGUUACCUUUUUAGAAACGUCGGGGAUUUUUGGCUUUUCUUCUGCCUUCAGGAAGGAAUAAAACUACGAACGGAAUAAGGAAAAAAUAAUUAACAACUCCACUCCAGGCACACUGACAGCUUUUUGACUUUUGAGCAGAACUGUUUCCUGCCUAACAGGAUUGAAAUGGUCUGGACUGCUUGAAAAGUGUGGAUGAGCCCUUGUUCCACAAUUUCUCCAGCAUCAUCUCACGUCUCUGCCUUCCUGAACUUGAUUAGGUGCAAAUACGAUCCUUCACUCACAUAAAUUACUGUGUCUUGCAAUGGGGAAAGUCCCAGUGCUGUGGAGUGUGGCAGACACCCAAACAAUGAGGUCAUCUUGUGACAUAAACACUACUGUCUGCAACACUUGGAGGCAAUUUUAGCCAUGUCGCCUAACGAACAGUUUGUAUUUUUUGUAAUUUAUCAGGAGAAGAACAAAAAGAUUUUUAUAUUUCAUGUAACCACUUGAACUGGAAAGCCACAAAAAAGUAAGAAGGAUGACAACGUAUAUGAAAAUGCCACAUUUACAGGGAUACACUUGUAUUAUGGAGUCAUUUUUGUCUAAAUAAACAUGCCGAGUUCUU